UACGUAGGGUGCAAGCGUUAAUCGGAAUUACUGGGCGUAAAGCGUGCGCAGGCGGCUUUGCAAGACAGAUGUGAAAUCCCCGGGCUCAACCUGGGAACUGCAUUUGUGACUGCAAGGCUAGAGUACGGUAGAGGGGGAUGGAAUUCCGCGUGUAGCAGUGAAAUGCGUAGAUAUGCGGAGGAACACCGAUGGCGAAGGCAGCCCCCUGGGUCAAGACUGACGCUCAUGCACGAAAGCGUGGGGAGCAAACAGG
rnacentral:rRNA from 1 species